GGUAAAUGUUCCAGAGACUUGCAGGUGUUCUCAGAUCAAAUUGGUUUCUUUCUGAAGAAAUUAUGUGAAGCGUUGACACUGGUAAAGCAAUUCCAAAAUGGAAUCUAAUUCAGUGCAUCUUUCUGCUGGUUUCAAAGGAAAAUUGAUUUAUAUAAUAUUAGUUCCCUUUUGAAUCUGACACUGAUCUAAUAAGCGUGUUAUUAUUGUCAUUUGGUAUAUCUCUGCUGAAUAUUAAGCUGUCUAUAUCGUAUAUAUGUGAAUAUAAAAUGGACCAUCUCAUGCCUUCUCAUUGGAAAUACAAGAACUAACGCAGACUCACGAACUCAAGCAGAAAGGGAUUGUAUUGGCAGCGCAUCAGAAAGCUUGAAGAAUCGACAGAAAUACCUAUAAGAAAACCAACAGCAUGAAAAAAUGAAAAACAUAAAGCUACAAGAAAACUUGAUUUGAGGAAACAGCCCAAAGAAGGUCACACGGAUGCCAGCACGUGCCUGCCUGCCUCUGGAGCACAGCACUGGUCCCCACGUCUUCUUCAUCAUCUCUUCUACCAAGAAAAAAAGAAGCACCCUGUGAGUUAAGGUUGCCAGCCCCACCUGGCAGAGGAAGGAGAAGAAAGAGACCUGUGGUGGCAGAAACAGGAUUGGAACCGAGGCAGGGCUGCGAGGACACCUUCUCUGGCCAAUAGCAGAAAACCUGGAAUAAGAGGAGUCGCAUUCACAGACAAUGAGCUUUUUAAGGUACUGCUCAAAGACCACUGGGAGCAAUAGUGACCCAACUUGACUCCAGACACCGGUAUCUUCUGAUAAAAACGUUCUCAAGUUAAACUUAGUUGAAUUUACAGUGAUGUAUAAGAAGUUUUGAUCUGUAGUAGGGACAGUCCUACCAUCCUACCACCUUCUGCAGCUUCUUCAGGGUUGUUUUGACUAGGCUU
rnacentral:lncRNA from 1 species